rnacentral:rRNA from 1 species
GACGAACGCUGGCGGCGUGCUUAACACAUGCAAGUCGAACGGAAAGGCCCUGCUUUUGUGGGGUGCUCGAGUGGCGAACGGGUGAGUAACACGUGAGUAACCUGCCCUUGACUUUGGGAUAACUUCAGGAAACUGGGGCUAAUACCGGAUAGGAGCUCCUGCUGCAUGGUGGGGGUUGGAAAGUUUCGGCGGUUGGGGAUGGACUCGCGGCUUAUCAGCUUGUUGGUGGGGUAGUGGCUUACCAAGGCUUUGACGGGUAGCCGGCCUGAGAGGGUGACCGGCCACAUUGGGACUGAGAUACGGCCCAGACUCCUACAGGAGGCAGCAGUGGGGAAUAUUGCACAAUGGGCGGAAGCCUGAUGCAGCAACGCCGCGUGCGGGAUGACGGCCUUCGGGUUGUAAACCGCUUUCGCCUGUGACGAAGCGUGAGUGACGGUAAUGGGGAAAGAAGCACCGGCUAACUACGUG